rnacentral:rRNA from 1 species
UAGGGAAUCUUCGGCAAUGGACGGAAGUCUGACCGAGCAACGCCGCGUGAGUGAAGAAGGUUUUCGGAUCGUAAAGCUCUGUUGUAAGAGAAGAACGAGUGUGAAAGUGGAAAGUUCACACUGUGACGGUAUCUUACCAGAAAGGGACGGCUAACUACGUGCCAGCAGCCGCGGUAAUACGUAGGUCCCGAGCGUUGUCCGGAUUUAUUGGGCGUAAAGCGAGCGCAGGCGGUUAGAUAAGUCUGAAGUUAAAGGCUGUGGCUUAACCAUAGUAGGCUUUGGAAACUGUUUAACUUGAGUGCAAGAGGGGAGAGUGGAAUUCCAUGUGUAGCGGUGAAAUGCGUAGAUAUAUGGAGGAACACCGGUGGCGAAAGCGGCUCUCUGGCUUGUAACUGACGCUGAGGCUCGAAAGCGUGGGGAGCAAACAGGAUUAGAUACCCUGGUAGUCCACGCCGUAACGAUGAGUGCUAGGUGUUAGACCCUUUCCGGGGUUUAGUGCCGUAGCUAACGCAUUAAGCACUCCGCCUGGGGAGUACGACCGCAAGGUU